UACGGAGGGUGCGAGCGUUGUUCGGAAUCACUGGGCGUAAAGGGCGUGUAGGCGGUCCGUUAAGUCUGAUGUGAAAGCCCGGGGCUCACCCCCGGAAGUGCAUUGGAAACUGGCGGACUCGAGUCCCGGAGAGGAGGGUGGAAUUCCUGGUGUAGCGGUGAAAUGCGUAGAUAUCAGGAGGAACACCGGUGGCGAAGGCGGCCCUCUGGACGGUGACUGACGCUAAUACGCGAAAGCGUGGGGAGCGAACAGG
rnacentral:rRNA from 1 species